CAGGGAGACCACAAAAUGUUAAAUAUUAAUUUUGUCCCCUUAGGUCGAUCGGUACCUCCCAUUCUUAAUUUAUUAAGGAUUUUAUUUCCUAAGUUUUUCUAGGUCACACCCAUUAUUUUUCCUGGGCCAUUAGCUCAGGUGGUUAGAGCGCACCCUUGAUAAGGGUGAGGUCCUUGGUUCAAGUCCAGGAUGGCCCAUAUCUCUAUGUUGGGGGUAUAGCUCAGUUGGUAGAGCGCCUGCUUUGCAAGCAGGAUGUCAGCGGUUCGAGUNCGCUUACNUCCACUGAUUACCACCUCUUCCAUAAUUUUUAUAGAAAGGAAAUUUUUGUGUUGCGAUCAAAUUCUGAACGAUUCUAGCUUCCUAAUCANACUAUUAAGAUGCUGGAUUCAUUGAAUUAAUUUCCUUGNUUUCANANAACCUUGACAACUGCAUAAAUUAUUUUUAAAGACAAUAAGCAUCUUUUAAUGAUGCAUAUUUAUUAUUUUUGCAAAUGCAUUAAUACCAAUUCUAUUAAGCUGAUGCUUCAAAUUUUUUGAAGUUAUU
rnacentral:tRNA from 1 species